rnacentral:lncRNA from 1 species
CUAUAUCUCUGCCUGUGCCGUGCCUUCGUGCCGGUCUAUUUAUCUAUCUCUAUCUCUUUUGGUCGCUAUGGAAAUGUGCUACUCCGAGUCGUCGUCUUGUUAGUGUUGCAAUUUGUGCUUUUGUUCUUGUCGUUGUGGACCGUGCCGUCGAGCCGGUUGAGAGAGUGACGUGUUUGGAUGUUGCGAUCGCGAGUUCGUCUCGCCAUGGCCGUAAUGCCGAGCAUGUCCCUUCUCUCGUAUUUCUGUUGUUCCUUCUUUUGUUAUUUGCAUGCCUGAGGACCGAGCCUUCGAGCCGGUUAGGGAAAAUGGUGGAGCGUUCGAUCAUUUCGAUCGUGGGUUCGUCCCGCCGUGAUCGCGAUGCCGAGCGUAACUCAUUCCCUGUGAUUAGUUGUCUUCGCUGCGCUACGGUCGUUAGCUCCUAUUCCCGUCCCUCGAACGUGGUCAUCGUGGACUCGAUGUCGUUAACGACGCGGUUCUUACCCGCACACUCGAGACCUAAAUGACCUAGUCUAGUGGGAUACGAAUUAGGGGACAACCUUCGUAGAACUAUCGGAGAAACUCGUUAGGUGAAGCUCAUGGCCGCGAGUCCACCUUGCCAUGGCCAUUGGGCUUUACCCCAUUUCUCCCGUGUUUAUCCUAACCACCUCGUAUGCUUGUACCACUUCGACUAUAGCAUUCCCUCGGACCUAGCGGUGACAACCACAUCGCUAUGGGCCUUAGGAAUAGCCUUGUGCUGAUUUAGAUGCACAGUCAUGGUGCCCUACAAGUGGGUUGGGAUCGUGGGGUCGUAUUCCUUUUAUCCAACCGUCGUUGUUCCAUGAUGAGUUGGUCGAAAGAGUAUGGACUCCAUUCUUCUUCUCUCUUGUUCUCAAUCCCGUCGAUCCAGUAAGAUGGGGAUUAAGCCCCUUUUGCUUGUUUGAUGUUUUGUUUCCAAUCCCGCGAUUCCCGCCGUUGCUAUGGCGAGCGGAUCAAAGGAAGGUGAAUCCCGUGUCUUUUUCCGCCUUUUUGGUUCUUCGUGCUUAAACUCUUGUAUGCUUGUACCUAUAUCGAUCGUAGCAUUUCUUUGGUUCUUGUGGUGACAACCGCACCGCAAAGAACCUUAGUGAUGUCAUAGUGCAUUUAGUGCACCUAGGUUGUGGUACCCUACAAGUGGUUUGAGUACUCGUGUUCCUUAUGUGUCACUCUUUCUAAUCCCCCGUCUCUUACCAUGGCGAGUGGAUGGGAAGAAGUAGACCACUCCCCUUUUCUUCUUUCCUUGUUCCACCCUCUCUUGGCUCUCGCCAACUACAAUGGCGUAUGGAUUGAGAGAGACCGGAACUUCGCGUGCUCAUAGUCUUUUCGAUUCUUGUCGAUCUCCGUGAUGCUUGGAUCGAAGAGCCACUACCUAUGGUGUUUGCUUAUGAUAAGUUAGGGUCUAAGCCAAUUAUUAAAGUCGUACAGGUUGACUUAGUCGACCCAGGAAGUACCGGCUAGGCUAAGACUCCAGCUUGUACUUAGUGAACAACCAUUCCCAUUUCUUUUAGCCCAAAGAUCGGACAUCCGCCGAGAGGGCUAAGCCGUUUUCCUUUCGUUGCUCUUUUAGUGUAGUUGUUCCUCAGUGUUAUGUCGUCUCUUUUCGUAGUCUUUCGAGGUCUAGUGGUUUGAUUGUUUCGCCUUGUUUGUCGCUUUCGAGGUAGUCGCUUCGAGGUUAGCGUUGAUCGGACCAGGACCAGUUGAAGGAAGAACAUGUAGAAAGGAGGAUCUUGGAUGAGUACAACUACAAGUGAACUGAGGAUCUUGGAAAUGUCACUCGACAGGUGCCACGUCCCACCCAACCUCGUAGAAUCCUAUUAGACAUGCAAUAAUGUAGAUGCUAGUGCUUUACUUUUAUGCAAAUGAAUUGAGAUAGGUUGCAUGGUAGAAAUGCUUGUGAGCCAUUGCCUUGUUGCAACCUAUAACCCUCGCACACCCGCUGUUAGGUUAGACGCUUGCAUACUACUUGCUACUGCUUCUACUACGCAUUAUAUCUGUGAUGUGAUGCAUUGUGGAGGAUUGGAUGUGAGUGGAUAAGGCACGUGGUGCCGAUAACUGGAUAAGAAAUGGAUAAUGGACUUGGGGAGAUCUUGGCGUGUGUCUUGGGUGUGUGGUGAGGGUUGAGUCGACCGAGCAGGAUUUACGACGAGUCUUGGGACAAGUCUUGCCGGGGAAUGCUACCUGGGCGUUCUCCAUGAGAGAUACCUGUGGCGGGUACAUGUGACAGGGAGAGGUCCCGGAGUGGAGUGUCUUCGUGGGACGAAGCACCGGGAUGGGAGGUGCUGUAUAGCACGGGGUAGCCGGGUGUCCCGUCGAGAGGGGCAUCGGCUGGCCCCUCGUGAAGAUGUCCUGUUCGGUUACCCUAAGGACUGAGAUGUUCUGAGAACCGGUUCGUAGGAAGCCUUACACGCCACUCGCCUUAUUAUGGUGCGGGACGGAUGUACGACCAGCUAGUGCGGUGCCACUACUACUAGGUUGAUAGCGGAUAGUGUAGGGAGGUACGGGCAUGAGGACCCACACCCUCCUAAGACAGCGUAGUGACCUUUGGGGGCCCGGUACUACGCCUCACAGUCUCAGCAUGCCGGUGGUACUCCGGUAUGGCCCCAGUCCUGAGUGGUAGGGUGGCAUCGUAUUUAGUUGGAAGGCAGCCCGGUAUCAGCCUAGACGAGCCGGUUCGUCGAUGAUGGUGAUCUUGUGGUUAGUGUAAACCUCUGCAGAGUUUGGUUGAUCGAUCGAUACAUAUGCCGUCUUCUCGGCUAUGGACCUUUCCUAUGUUCCGCUUCGCUUGACUAGUGAGAGGAGUCCCUUCUAUCUUCCCCUGGGUUUGUGUUGGAUCCGGCGUUGGCCGUUGAGGCAAGGCACGAGCGGGAGUCGUACUUGCCGCCUAGAGAGUGAGAGUGUGGUGAGAUGUGUGUGAUGGGAUGGAUGGAUGGAUGUGUGGAUGAGAUGGAUUAAAACUUGAUGAAUUAUUAUUAUUAAAAUAUUGAUGAACUUGCAUAGAAAAAACUACAGCCAUAUAUAGGCCUCUUGAUCUACCCUUUUGCAUUCCACUUACCACAAAGCUUACGCAAAAGCAUAGGGUGGGAGCCAGUGGCCAGUACAAAUCGUACUGAAAAUUGUUUAGCAGGUUUUGAACGUGAUCUAUGACGAUAACUACGGAGAAUAGAAGGAUUAGGUGGUCUCGUUCCUGCGCUCAAGUUUGGUUCAGAGAUGAAGGCUGCGCCCGCUGAUAAACUACGCCGACUCUGAUGAUUGUCCGUGAAGGAGGAGCCUUCACCGCUGUCGCGCUACAUCGACUCUGAUAAAGACUCGCGUGUGUUUCCGCUAGAAAAACAAUGUAAUAAGCUUGUUAAUCAAGAGUUGUAAAGCAAAUGUGUUGUAAUCUUGUUUCUCACGAUGUAUGACUACGAUAACAGCUGAUAUAUGAUAAUGCGAUGGUUCAAUUUUUGAAUUAUCACAUUAUAAUUCGAAUCUGUGGAUUUUUCCCUUUGUGGAAAAAUCUGGGUCGUUUCAGUUGGUAUCAGAGCCAUACUUGACCCUAGGACGAGACCAUUAGGACCAAACACUAGUUUAGAAGCCAAACAUUCUAUCUUUUGUAGAGUUAUAGAUGCUAACACUUGUUUUCCCCCCUCCGCCUUGAAUUCUGUUGCUAACUGACCUCCCUGUUUCAUAAAGUUGACCGUUGGAAUCUUUUCCCAUACCCGCCCACGCUAGAUCGGUAGUCGUGUGAGACUUUGAAGGUCUGUGAGUCGCCUCAAGUCAACACUAUGCAUUAGGAGUUGUAAUGCUGAUUGAGUGCUUGGAUCUUAUGUUCUUGCGUUUCGUCUGCUUCUUGUUGUUUGAGUGUAUGUCAUAGAACUGUUUUAUGCGAGAAAAACUCUGGAUCCCGUCCAAUCUAGCUGGCUAAACCUAAGACUGUCCCGAAACUAGAUAAGUGACCCUGGCUAACAGAGCCGAAAAAGGGUUUAAAGCUGAUGCAUCAUGUCUUGCCCAUCUAUUUCAAAACUGUUUUUGGCUUCCAACUAAACUUGUCUUCAAAAUUGCCCUUUUGUUGAAAAAGUUUCUCUCCUUUUUGGUUGAAAAAGUUUAUCUCUUUUACAAAACAUCUUGGUUUCAAAAGGAAAAGUGUUUCAAAACUCUCUCAAUAUUCUUCCCUUUUCACAAAUAAAGCAAUUUUAACCCCCCUUUCUCAACUCAAACUCUAUUUAUGAAACGGUUUAAAAACAAGUUAUCUUCAAAAGGUGUUACCAAUCCUCUUUCUGAAAAUCAAAAGUUCUACCUUCAACCAACAAAGUGGUUUUCAAACCAAAGAUCUUUGGCUCAGUUUUGUUUUAAAUGUCUUUGAUUUUAUCUCAAGAGCCAAAUUCCUUUUAAAAUUCAACCUUGCCUUAAAAGAAAAAGGAAUUCCCAGUGAUUUAUUAAACAAAAACCAUUGUGAAAAGUUUUUGUUUAGCAACCUUUCAAAAAAAAGAACGAAAUGGACUUUCAAGUUUCAAAAAUGUUUUGGUUGUGAAGGCUCUAACUUUCAAAAUGCGAAAUGAUUUCUUGUUAUUUUCAAAACUAAUUUGUUUGACUCUAAUAAAAAGGGAGCAAUACCUUGUUUUAAAGAAAAUAGUAAUAAUAAAAUGAAAGAAUUUUAAAAUCUUUUGAUUUGAAAUCUUUUAUAAUAAAACCUUCAAAAUAUUUGGUUCUCAAAACUUGUAUUGAAUUCAACCCUCUGCAAAAGCUCUCUUCAUUUUGAAGUCUCAAAAAAAAAAUUGACUUUGUAAAAUCGCUUUCACUCCAUUUAUGAAACCUGUUUUUUUCCGAAAAACAUUCCUUUCAAAAGCUUUUUGCAAAGAGUGAUGCAUGAAAAACCGCUAGUGAAAGCCAACAACCCUAGCUAUGUUUAAGCCUGCCAUGCACUCCUAGAGAGCCAGAUGUUCAUCAACCUGGUGCGAUUCUUGGAUACCCAUCGCCUUGUUGUGAGAAUUUGGAUACCCAACACCAGCGAGUGAGCCUUGGAUACAUCCUGAACAUGACUCGCCCCCACAUGGAAAAGGUUUGUGGAGCCAUCUUUCUGAUAGCAGUUAACUCAAAAGUAAGAAGAACUUCUGAAACGACGCCCUCGUUUCUUCACCGACCGAGCAACGCCUAAAUCUCGGGACGAGAUUCCUGUAAGGUGGGUGGACUGUAACAUCCCGGAUUUUUACAAAAACCAAAAAUACGAACUUUUUAAAAUUUUUCCUGUAAUCGUGUGAAUCAUAUAGUAUUUAGGUCAAACUCGAUCCUAACCCGCUAACAAAUCGUGGCAUACAUAUAGAUUUGUUUGUAGACGGGUCGUCUUAAGUUGGAUCUUGUUAGGGUUUUGAGUUUCUUUUGGAGUGCACAAAUCCGUAGCAAAGCCUUCCCGAAUUUUCGUUGAGCCUAUCUCAAAGGCGAAGCGGAUCCCUUCUCAACCUUUUCGUUGGAGUACGUCUCAAACUCCUUUUGAUCCUUUUGAACUCUCCCUGAAAUUCCCUUCUCUCUCUCUUUGAUCUUAUCUAAAUCUCCUCCGCAAAAUCUAUCUUAAAUUCAUGGUAACUCAUCUCAAUCUCUUGUUGAGUUCUCUCUCGAAUGCCCCUCAUUUUUUUUUCCCUUUUAAAAUUUCUCUCAAAGCCCUUGAGUCAAAUUCGUAAAUGGAAGAUCCAUCUCCUUUCAUGGGCCAAUUCUUUCCUCCUCUUCCUCCCUCCCUCGGCCCAGCCUGGGCACCCUUCCCCCCUGUCCGGCCCAACUCGCGCGCGCCAAGGCCCAGUCUGCCCCUUACCCCCCAGCCAGGUCGGCCCACCUCGUUCCCCCUGUCUCCCCUCCGAGGCCCAGCUCUUUCCUUGGCCCAUCCAGUGCCGCGCUGGCCCAUUCGCUUCUCCCUGCUCUGGCCCAAGUCGUGGCCGGCCCAGCAGCCAGCGCCCCAGCCCCAACCCUAGCAGGGAGCUGGACACCUGAGCCCCAGAGCCGCCGCCGCCGUCGCCCAAGGCAGAGCCGCGCCAGCGCUCGCGCCUGCCACGGCUUCCGUGCGACCCCGCAUCCACCGCCGCGUGUCCCGCUGCGGACACGGACGCCGAGGAUGGCCGCAGCGUCCCUGGAGCCCUAGCGCCCGCGCUAUAAAAGCGGCAGCAGCCGCUCGCCCUUCUUCUACCCGCCGCCGCCGCCAUAGCCGACUCGAAGCUCCGCACCCUCACCAAGCGCCUCGACCCCGACCUCGCCCCGCGCACCUGCACCACCGAGCUCGGUCACGCCGUGACGCCGUCGAUCGCCACCACGAUGUCGCCCGCAACUGCGUCGCCCGAGCGUCUCGUCCUCGGCACCACCUCGGCACUCGCACCGCGCCCUCGCCGAGCAGCAGCAGAGCCGCGGCCAUGGCCUCGCCCUGCCGACGCCGCCAAGCACCACUGCGCCCGCCUCGGCCGUGCCCCUACCUCUGUGUCAAGCUUCAUCACCACGCGGGGGUCAGCCGCGGUGCCGUCCUCGCUGCGCAGCGGCCUCGCCCGGCGACGUCGAGCCCGCUGCCCUCGCCGCGUCGAGCUUCGACCACGGCCGGCCGCGUGGACGCCACAGCCCGGCCGAGCCUCUGCCUCGCCACCGUGGGAGUCGCCGCGGCCACGACGCCUUCAGCCCCGGCGCCCCUCCGCGUCUACGACGGUGUCGACCGCGAGCCCCCGUGCUGUCAUGGAGCUUACCUCGUCGAGCCGACACGCCGUCGACAGAGCCACCGAUGCCGCGCGCCGGGCACCAGAGCAAGCCCCUUCGCCGAGCACCCGAUGCGCCCCGUUGCCGCGGCCACGCCAGGACAUCGCCAUGGUCACCGCGUCAGCGCCGGCCGUGGUGAUCGCGACCCCGACCACGACGCCGUGCUCAUCUUGCCACGGUGACCGCGAACUUCCCUUUUGCUGGCUGCCGAUCACCACUGAACGUGCAGCAGCGGCAGCACCACCCCGCGCGAAGCUCUUCUCUGCCGCCGGUGAGCCACCAGUGCCCAAGUGCCCUCCUUGCUAGCUUUCUGUUUUGCCUUGCUGAAACCGGCCUUUGUGCCGUGUUCUUCACUGUACAGGGAUGCUGCACCCAUGUCGUGCCACUUGCCGGAGCCGUUGGACUUAACAUCGCUGCUGUUGGAGCACCGAACCUCGAGGCGUUGCCGAACCCCAAGACUUCUCUUUCAGAUGCACCCCGGCCACUUGCAGCAAGCCGCGACCAAGCUGUAGAAGCCCUCUGCCAUCCUCGCCCGCAAGGUCGAACCUUGAACCUAGCCGACAUCGUCUCCGACGUUGGCAAAACCCUUGCCGUUCAUUUCGAUAUCAUACAUGCCAUGUAUCUUGCUCAUGUAUGCAUUAUGAUCUAUCUGCAUGACCAUUUGUUCAUCUAUCCAUGUCAUGCACUUGUUACAUGAUUAUUCAUCUCAUAUCUCGUUUAAUGCGCGAUCUAUCUUCGUCUAUAUCUCUGCCUGUGCCGUGCCUUCGUGCCGGUCUAUUUAUCUAUCUCUAUCUCUUUUGGUCGCUAUGGAAAUGUGCUACUCCGAGUCGUCGUCUUGUUAGUGUUGCAAUUUGUGCUUUUGUUCUUGUCGUUGUGGACCGUGCCGUCGAGCCGGUUGAGAGAGUGACGUGUUUGGAUGUUGCGAUCGCGAGUUCGUCUCGCCAUGGCCGUAAUGCCGAGCAUGUCCCUUCUCUCGUAUUUCUGUUGUUCCUUCUUUUGUUAUUUGCAUGCCUGAGGACCGAGCCUUCGAGCCGGUUAGGGAAAAUGGUGGAGCGUUCGAUCAUUUCGAUCGUGGGUUCGUCCCGCCGUGAUCGCGAUGCCGAGCGUAACUCAUUCCCUGUGAUUAGUUGUCUUCGCUGCGCUACGGUCGUUAGCUCCUAUUCCCGUCCCUCGAACGUGGUCAUCGUGGACUCGAUGUCGUUAACGACGCGGUUCUUACCCGCACACUCGAGACCUAAAUGACCUAGUCUAGUGGGAUACGAAUUAGGGGACAACCUUCGUAGAACUAUCGGAGAAACUCGUUAGGUGAAGCUCAUGGCCGCGAGUCCACCUUGCCAUGGCCAUUGGGCUUUACCCCAUUUCUCCCGUGUUUAUCCUAACCACCUCGUAUGCUUGUACCACUUCGACUAUAGCAUUCCCUCGGACCUAGCGGUGACAACCACAUCGCUAUGGGCCUUAGGAAUAGCCUUGUGCUGAUUUAGAUGCACAGUCAUGGUGCCCUACAAGUGGGUUGGGAUCGUGGGGUCGUAUUCCUUUUAUCCAACCGUCGUUGUUCCAUGAUGAGUUGGUCGAAAGAGUAUGGACUCCAUUCUUCUUCUCUCUUGUUCUCAAUCCCGUCGAUCCAGUAAGAUGGGGAUUAAGCCCCUUUUGCUUGUUUGAUGUUUUGUUUCCAAUCCCGCGAUUCCCGCCGUUGCUAUGGCGAGCGGAUCAAAGGAAGGUGAAUCCCGUGUCUUUUUCCGCCUUUUUGGUUCUUCGUGCUUAAACUCUUGUAUGCUUGUACCUAUAUCGAUCGUAGCAUUUCUUUGGUUCUUGUGGUGACAACCGCACCGCAAAGAACCUUAGUGAUGUCAUAGUGCAUUUAGUGCACCUAGGUUGUGGUACCCUACAAGUGGUUUGAGUACUCGUGUUCCUUAUGUGUCACUCUUUCUAAUCCCCCGUCUCUUACCAUGGCGAGUGGAUGGGAAGAAGUAGACCACUCCCCUUUUCUUCUUUCCUUGUUCCACCCUCUCUUGGCUCUCGCCAACUACAAUGGCGUAUGGAUUGAGAGAGACCGGAACUUCGCGUGCUCAUAGUCUUUUCGAUUCUUGUCGAUCUCCGUGAUGCUUGGAUCGAAGAGCCACUACCUAUGGUGUUUGCUUAUGAUAAGUUAGGGUCUAAGCCAAUUAUUAAAGUCGUACAGGUUGACUUAGUCGACCCAGGAAGUACCGGCUAGGCUAAGACUCCAGCUUGUACUUAGUGAACAACCAUUCCCAUUUCUUUUAGCCCAAAGAUCGGACAUCCGCCGAGAGGGCUAAGCCGUUUUCCUUUCGUUGCUCUUUUAGUGUAGUUGUUCCUCAGUGUUAUGUCGUCUCUUUUCGUAGUCUUUCGAGGUCUAGUGGUUUGAUUGUUUCGCCUUGUUUGUCGCUUUCGAGGUAGUCGCUUCGAGGUUAGCGUUGAUCGGACCAGGACCAGUUGAAGGAAGAACAUGUAGAAAGGAGGAUCUUGGAUGAGUACAACUACAAGUGAACUGAGGAUCUUGGAAAUGUCACUCGACAGGUGCCACGUCCCACCCAACCUCGUAGAAUCCUAUUAGACAUGCAAUAAUGUAGAUGCUAGUGCUUUACUUUUAUGCAAAUGAAUUGAGAUAGGUUGCAUGGUAGAAAUGCUUGUGAGCCAUUGCCUUGUUGCAACCUAUAACCCUCGCACACCCGCUGUUAGGUUAGACGCUUGCAUACUACUUGCUACUGCUUCUACUACGCAUUAUAUCUGUGAUGUGAUGCAUUGUGGAGGAUUGGAUGUGAGUGGAUAAGGCACGUGGUGCCGAUAACUGGAUAAGAAAUGGAUAAUGGACUUGGGGAGAUCUUGGCGUGUGUCUUGGGUGUGUGGUGAGGGUUGAGUCGACCGAGCAGG